rnacentral:rRNA from 1 species
GACGAACGCUGGCGGCGUGCUUAACACAUGCAAGUCGAACGGCAACGCCCUGCUUUUGUGCGCUGCUCGAGUGGCGAACGGGUGAGUAACCCGUGUGUAACCUGCCCUUCACUUUGGGAUUACUUCAUGAAACUGGUGCUAAUUCCCGCUAGGUAUUCCUGCUGCAUGGUGGGGGUUGGAUUGUUUCGCCGGUUGGGGUUGGUCGCGAGGCUUAUCAGCUUGUUGGUUGGGUAGUGGCUUACCAAGGCUUUGACCGGUAGCCGGCCUGAGAGGGUUACCGGACACAUCGGGACUGAGAUGCGGCACAGACUCGAACGGGAGGCAGGAGAGGAGAAUAGUGCAUAAUGGGAGGAAGGCAGAUGCAGUAAAGCAGCGUGGGGGAUGAGGGGAAGGGGUUUGUAAAGCGAAUUCGCCUGAGACGAAGCGAGAGUGACGGUAAUGGGUAAAGAAGCACCGGCUAACUACGUG